UAGAGUUUGAUCCUGGCUCAGGAUGAACGCUAGCUACAGGCUUAACACAUGCAAGUCGAGGGGCAGCAGGACGGUAGCUUGCUACUGUCGCUGGCGACCGGCGCACGGGUGAGUAACGCGUAUCCAACCUUCCCCUGAGUAGGGAAUAGCCCGGCGAAAGUCGGAUUAAUGCCCUAUGUUGUCCGACGAUAGCAUUUGAAUUGGAUGAAAGAUUUAUCGCUCAGGGAUGGGGAUGCGUCUGAUUAGGUUGCAGGCGGGGUAACGGCCCACCUGGCCGACGAUCAGUAGGGGUUCUGAGAGGAAGGUCCCCCACAUUGGAACUGAGACACGGUCCAAACUCCUACGGGAGGCAGCAGUGAGGAAUAUUGGUCAAUGGGCGAGAGCCUGAACCAGCCAAGUAGCGUGCAGGAUGACGGCCCUAUGGGUUGUAAACUGCUUUUGGAGGGGAAUAAAGUGGCGUACGUGUACGCCUUUGUAUGUACCCUCAGAAUAAGGACCGGCUAAUUCCGUGCCAGCAGCCGCGGUAAUACGGAAGGUCCGGGCGUUAUCCGGAUUUAUUGGGUUUAAAGGGAGCGCAGGCCGCCGAUUAAGCGUGACGUGAAAUGUCCCGGCUCAACCGGGGAGUUGCGUCGCGAACUGGUUGGCUUGAGUGCGGACGAGGUAUGCGGAAUUCGUGGUGUAGCGGUGAAAUGCUUAGAUAUCACGAAGAACCCCGAUUGCGAAGGCAGCGUACCAGGCCGUAACUGACGCUAAUGCUCGAAGGUGCGGGUAUCGAACAGGAUUAGAUACCCUGGUAGUCCACACUGUAAACGAUGAUAACUCGCUGUCGGCAAUACACAGUCGGUGGCCAAGCGAAAGCGAUAAGUUAUCCCCCUGGGGAGUACGACCGCAAGGUGAAACUCAAAGGAAUUGACCGGGGCCCCCCCAACCGGAGAAAC
rnacentral:rRNA from 1 species